ACAGUGAUUAUCCGGGCUCUUUCGUCAUGGCAUCUUUGACGACGGUCCAAGUUGUUGAGGAUUUAGCUGCUGCAGGUGACUCGGACGUUGUUUUUACGCUUGAAAAUACAGUAGCUGGAGGUUUAACCUCGGGCAAGGGCAGGCGAAAUUCUAAUGUGCAGUUGUCCGAAGCCGACUCUGAAGGUGCGUGUCCAGAGAAGACAGACAAACGGAAGAGCCUAGAGGCCUAUGAACAAUUGGCAAGAUUUGUCGCUGCUUCUGGACAAUUAAAAGAUAUUGGACAUAAUAUUGAAGCUCUUGCUACAAAGUUGACAUUAGCAAAAGAGAAACUGGUUGCAGUACUAGCAGACAGUCAACUCUAGCUAGUGUAUAGAGUGGAAAAUGCUGAUCAUACCUAAUUAAUUGAAAAGACAAUAGUUUGAA